AGAGUUUGAUCCUGGCUCAGGAUGAACGCUGGCGGUAUGCUUAACACAUGCAAGUCGAACGAAAGUUUUUAACUUUAGUGGCGAACGGGUGCGUAAUACGUGAGAAUCUGCCCUUAGGAGAAGAAUAACUGUUGGAAACGACCGCUAAAUCUUCAUAUGCCGAGAGGUGAAAUAGCUUUUGUUGCCUAAGGAUGAGCUCACGCCUGAUUAGCUAGUUGGUAAGGUAAUGGCUUACCAAGGCCACGAUCAGUAGCUGGUUUGAGAGAACGAUCAGCCACACUGGGACUGAGACACGGCCCAGACUCCUCCGGGAGGCAGCAGUGAGGAAUUUUCCGCAAUGGGCGAAAGCCUGACGGAGCAAUACCGCGUGAGGGAUGAAGGAUUUUGGUCUGUAAACCUCUUUUCUCAAGAAAGAAGUUCUGACGGUACUUGAGGAAUAAGCAUCGGCUAACUCCGUGCCAGCAGCCGCGGUAAUACGGGGGAUGCAAGCGUUAUCCGGAAUCAUUGGGCGUAAAGCGCCUGUAGGUUGUUUAAUAAGUCUGUUGUUAAAGACUAGGGCUCAACCCUAGAAAAGCAAUGGAAACUACUAGACUAGAGUAUGGCAGGGGUAGAGGGAAUUUCUAGUGUAGCGGUGAAAUGCGUAGAUAUUAGAAAGAACACCGGUGGCGAAAGCGCUCUACUGGACCAUUACUGACACUCAGAGGCGAAAGCUAGGGUAGCAAAAGGGAUUAGAUACCCCUGUAGUCCUAGCCGUAAACGAUGGAUACUA
rnacentral:rRNA from 1 species